GGUUCAUUCAAAUUUCUUCCCUAUCAACUUUCGAUGUUUGGGUAUUGGCCAAACAUGGUUGCAACGGGUAACGGAGGGUUAGGGCUCGACCCCGGAGAAGGAGCCUGAGAAACGGCUACUACAUCCAAGGAAGGCAGCAGGCGCGCAAAUUACCCAAUCCCGACCGGGGAGGUAGUGACAAUAAAUACUGAUACAGGGCUCUUUCGGGUCUUGUAAUUGGAAUGAGUACAAUUUAAAUCCCUUAACGAGGAACAAUUGGAGGGCAAGUCUGGUGCCAGCAGCCGCGGUAAUUCCAGCUCCAAUAGCGUAUAUUAAAGUUGUUGUGGUUAAAAAGCUCGUAGUUG
rnacentral:rRNA from 1 species